CCUGUACUAGUUUAUUUUGUUUGAACGAUGGCGGGACGCAGAAGGCUAAGGAAAGCAUCCGGUUGGAAAUGGAUGUCCAAGCAACAAGUCUUGACGUGAGUGAAAUGCUUGCGACUAUAAGGACAAGUUGUGAUGGGGAGCGAAAUUUUAGUAGCGAAGUUCCUGAUGUCACGCUGCCAAGAAAAGCGUCUAGUGAGAAAUAAACUACCCGUACCGCAAACCGACACAGGUAGUCGAGGCGAGUAGCCUCAGGUGAGCGAGCGAACUCUCGUUAAGGAACUCGGCAAAAUGACCCCGUAACUUCGGGAGAAGGGGUGCUGCACGUCAGUGCAGCCGCAGUGAAUAGGCCCAGGCGACUGUUUAUCAAAAACACAGGUCUCUGCUAAAUCGUAAGAUGACGUAUAGGGGCUGACGCCUGCCCGGUGCUGGAAGGUUAAGAGGAUGAGUUAGCGUAAGCGAAGCCCAGAAUUGAAGCCCCAGUAAACGGCGGCCGUAACAAUAACGGUCCUAAGGUAGCGAAAUUCCUUGUCGGGUAAGUUCCGACCUGCACGAAUGGUGUAACGAUCUGGAAACUGUCUCAGCCGUGAGCUCGGUGAAAUUGUAAUAUCGGUGAAGAUGCCGAUUACUCGCAAUGGGACGAAAAGACCCCGUGAACCUUUACUANCGUAUUGAUUUUGAUUAAAAAAUGUGUAGGAUAGGUGGGAAACUUUGAAGCAUUGUCGCUAGGUAAUGUGGAGUUGUCCUUGAAAUACCACCCUUUUUUUAAUUGAAAUCUAACUCGAUUAAAAAAAUUGAGAACAUUGCGUGGUGGGUAGUUUGACUGGGGUGGUCGCCUCCAAAAAGGUAACGGAGGCUCCCAAAGGUACCCUCAACACGUUUGGUAAUCGUGUGUAGAGUGUAAUGACAUAAGGGUGCUUGACUGUGAGACUUACAAGUCGAUCAGGUACGAAAGUAGGGCAUAGUGAUCCGGUGGUUCCGUAUGGAAGGGCCAUCGCUCAAAGGAUAAAAGCUACCCUGGGGAUAACAGGCUUAUCUCCCCCAAGAGUCCACAUCGACGGGGAGGUUUGGCACCUCGAUGUCGGCUCAUCGCAUCCUGGGGCUGUAGUCGGUCCCAAGGGUUGGGCUGUUCGCCCAUUAAAGCGGUACGCGAGCUGGGUUCAGAACGUCGUGAGACAGUUCGGUCCCUAUCCGUCGCGGGCGCAGGAAAUUUGAGAGGAGCUGUUCCUAGUACGAGAGGACCGGAAUGGACGUUCCGCUGGUGUACCAGUUGUGCCGCCAGGCGCAUCGCUGGGUAGCUAUGUAUGGAAGGGAUAAACGCUGAAAGCAUCUAAGUGUGAAGCCCCCCUCGAGAUGAGAUUUCCCAUUCCGUAAGG
rnacentral:rRNA from 1 species